GGCAGCAUGGUAUAAUGAUUCGAAUGUUGGACUAUAACUCUGGACACCAGGGUUCAAAUCCCUGCUUGGCCA